UACGGAGGGUGCGAGCGUUGUCCGGAAUUAUUGGGCGUAAAGAGCUCGUAGGCGGUCUGUCGCGUCGGCUGUGAAAACUCGGGGCUCAACUCCGAGCUUGCAGUCGAUACGGGCAGGCUAGAGUUUGGCAGGGGAGACUGGAAUUCCUGGUGUAGCGGUGAAAUGCGCAGAUAUCAGGAGGAACACCGGUGGCGAAGGCGGGUCUCUGGGCCGAUACUGACGCUGAGGAGCGAAAGCGUGGGGAGCGAACAGG
rnacentral:rRNA from 1 species